rnacentral:lncRNA from 1 species
AGUAAAUAAUAGAGUACAUAAUACACCUAUUUCCAGAAUAAGAAAUAAACUUCAAAUACUUUCAAAGCGGUUUGUGUUUGUACCGGCCGACAAAGCAGCCAACACUGUGGUGGUGGUAUGCCGUAAAUACUACACGGACGUUCUUAAGAAUGAAAUUUUAAAUUCAUCUACAUUCAAGUCCAUCCGCUCCACAGAGAGUCAUAUAGUAAACAAGCAUAUCACAACCA